UAUGUUGUUCAUGAUAAACUGGAUGAGGGCCUAUUGUUUGAAUCCUAUAAACCCCUAUUAGGUCAAUCCAUAAAAAUGUGCCCUUAUAAUCAGGUUCAAGGCUUUUACAAACGGGCUUAAACAUCACCCGAGUACCGACUCAAAUGCCUGCUUCUCCUUCCACCAGUCUUUCUCUCUCAACCAACAGCUACUAUCGAAAACACAGCAACAGUUGGAAGGAGUUUCAGACACCGCUCCAGCUGAGUUAAGCUGAUGAUCCACAUCCAUAAAAGCAAUUGAUAUAUCAUUCAAGAAAAAGGGAUAGAAGAAAAAAAAAAAGAAAAAAGAAGCAGCUGUGCAGAGUAUUUCGAAAUCAUUCU
rnacentral:lncRNA from 1 species